GGCAGGCAGGAGUGUGGAGCAGCAGAGCAUGGGGAGAGUUUCUGCCCCUGAAUCCUUUUAUUACUUUAGCUCCCUCCCCUCCUACUUCACCUGGGGCUGUCUAGUGAAGGGAAGUGGCCCCGAGCGGUGACUGACCACUCUGCAUUUGAGUUAGCCAUCGCCUUUGGCUCUCUUCUUCUCGAAGCCGCAGAUGGACAUCCCAUUUCAUGUGACAGAACUGUUCCCUUAAUGCCUUCUUGGCUCUGCUUUUGUGGAACCCCAAACUCCCAUCAGUAAAUCAGGCAAUCAGGACUUGCUCUAUGGAGAGGUGAUGUAGGUGGAUGUCCACAUAGGUUUUAUAACUUGGCAGAUGUGACAAGUCCACCUACUCCCCAGAUAUCAGUGAAAAAGAUGGAAAGAUGACCCCUACAUCUACAAGCAAAACACCUGACUCUACCACAUACCGUGUUACUAUAGGACCAUGUCAGGGGCCACUGCUCUCCUUGCUUUUCCCCACAGGUGGGAGACAAGAGCAUGGAUAUGGAGUUGAGUGGAAAGUGAAGAGUCGAAGAUGACUUCAUCGUUUUGAACCUGAGUGAUUGGAAGGAUAAAGAAGAAGUCAAGAAAAGAGAGGACACAAAAUGGUUUAGAGCCAUUACCUUUUUUUAGGCAUUCUUAUUCUGGGAUUUAUAAACUUGUUUUAUUAAAAAAUAUUUUGAAAACUA